CUACACAUCAUCACACAGACACACAUUAAGACGAGGAGCUUGAUGAAAAAUGAUAUAAAAAGGAAAACAGACUGUCACCAUUCUAACAGUCAGGUGAUAAAAUAUCCUUCUAGUUCAGGGGGGGACAAAGAUCACCAGGAAAUAGUCCCAUCAUUGACCACAACCAAAAGGACAAAUAAAUGUAGAGACUGAACAGUACUGGGAUAGUACUGUUACGACUCCAUGAGCUCUUCCCUCCUUCCUGUACUGUUACGACUCCAUGAGCUCUUCCCUCCUUCCUGUACUGUUACGACUCCAUGAGCUCUUCCCUCCUUCCUGUACUGUUACGACUCCAUGAGCUCUUCCCUCCUUCCUGUACUGUUACGACUCCAUGAGCUCUUCCCUCCUUCCUGUACUGUUACGACUCCAUGAGCUCUUCCUCCUUCCAGAAACGGCUGUAGACCAACGAGGAAGACCCACAUGGAACUGGACUUUUUGGGGGUGAAUCUCCCGUUGACUUCAAAGCUUGACUUGUUAUGCUAAAGUCCAAGAGAGAAAUUAGUCCAGGAAGACUCCCCCAGUCAGUCAGGUAGGAGGAGUCUAUCCAUUACAUCAGUCAAGUAGGAGGAGUCUAUCCAUUACAUCAGUGCAGGAAGACUCCCCCCAGUCAGUCAGGUAGGAGGAGUCUAUCCAUUACAUCAGUCAGGUAGGAGGAGUCUAUCCAUUAAAUCAGUCAGGUAGGAGGAGUCUAUCCAUUACAUCAGUCAUGUAGGAGGAGUCUAUCCAUUACAUCAGUCCAGGAAGACUCCCCCAGUCAGUCAGGUAGGAGGAGUCUAUCCAUUACAUCAGUCCAGGAAGACUCCCCCCCAGUCAGUCAGGUAGGAGGAGUCUAUCCAUUACAUCAGUCCAGGAAGACUCCCCCAGUCAGUCAGGUAGGAGGAGGAGUCUAUCCAUUACAUCAGUCAAGGAAGACUCCCCAGUCAGUCAGGUAGGAGGAGUCUAUCCAUUACAUCAGUCCAGGAAGACUCCCCCAGUCAGUCAGGUAGGAGGAGUCUAUCCAUUACAUCAGUCCAGGAAGACUCCCCCCAGUCAGUCAGGUAGGAGGAGUCUAUCCAUUACAUCAGUCCAGGAAGACUCCCCGAGUCAGUCAGGUAGGAGGAGGGCGUAGUGGUGAAACCCCAUCAAAGCCAGUUCAGCACAGCAGCAAUGGAGGACAGUGGUGAGUAUGUAUGAGACAGUAUGGAUGCACAUGUGUGUUCCUUACAAUACGUUCUUGUGUCUCUGUAUACUGUUGAUGGAUAAAGUUCUCCACAUCCUGCUGUGUGUGUGUGUGUGUGUGUGUGUGUGUGUGUACUACAUAUGAAUGGAUGUCUAUGUCCCUGUUAGUCCAUGUCUCAGGCCACAGUCUGUCCUCUGUGGGGGUCUGUUGGGG
ensembl:lncRNA